rnacentral:miRNA from 1 species
AACGGCCAAGGGGAAAAGGGCGAAGGAAAAAUAAAGCUUUAUUUUUCCUUCGCCGUUUUCCCCUUCGCCGUUUUUUUCCUUCG